ACUAACAUAAGGAGCGUUCAAACCCACACGGCGCACAGGAUAAUUCUUACGGUGCGGCACAUUUUAACUCUUGACCCCCUGAUAAGGGAUUUGCUGAAUGCUCCAUCUACAGACGAAAGGAGUUCGAUGACAAGUUUAGGCUGUGGAAACAAGUUCUCCGAUCUCCAACUAAAUCUCUUCAUGCAAAAAGAGUGACUGAGCGAAGAACGGAGAGACAGGAAAACAGAAAGAGCGAGAGAGAAAGAGGUGUCAAUUGCUAGCCGUCAACUCAUCUGAUGUCCUCCGCGCACAUCCAGAAGCGCUCACGUGUGAAAAAGCCGCCGUAACUUUCACCGGGGACAUUUUUGACGAGCGGUGAGGAAAGAGUUUGACAGAUCCGGGCGACGUCAGGCCGUCUCUGGGCCAUUUGGCAUGCGGUGGGCGUCUGGCAUGCUGAAGACUGCCUGUCAAACGCCUAUGACUCCAUAGAGUGGUGCGGGGACCCUACGGAGCGGCAGAUGGGCCAUUAAGAGACCAAGCUGACUACAUUUGAAAUGAGAUCUCAUCAAUAUGAUCAUUUGGACUAAGAAGUGCUCUUGGAUUAAGAAGCCACUCAUUGUUUCUAUUUUAAUAUUGUUUUAAUGUUAUUAAUUUAUUUAUUUUAAUUGUAGUAUCAAAUUGGAACAAUGUACAAGUACUUUUGACAUCCCUGUUGGCCAUCGUGUUGUACGUGGAGACCCAUGCUAAUGAAGCGUUAACUAAACAGGCCUGGUGAUUGAAGGGUGGUCACGAUGGGACUCAGCGUCUCUGUAAGGACACUAUGACAGACUGUCUUUGACUCGUAUGCUCCGCUACUCAAUCAAGACCUCAUAUCCUGUUUAUGAUCGGCCAAACAGCUAAAUACUACUCAUUCUGCCAUCCCUAAAGACAAAUCUGAUUGAGAUCCCCUUGACGCGAGCCGUGAGGACACUCAAAGACAACGAGAAAUCAUCAAUGGAGAUUAUUCGUCCCAACAACAAACACUUCUGAUGAGGAAUAUUGAUACAAAUAAGAGUGUGUGGAUUCAAACAGCAUAAAAAAAAUAAAAAAUGAG